UAUCCUCUUUGAUUUUAUUAUUUAUUUUUACCCCUAUUUUAAAAAGCUGUAAAGCGCAGAUAAAGGAAUGUGUUGCAGGUCCCUUAGUUGCGCAAUGACUGGAGGAGAAAAAGAAUUCAUUUGCAUCUGGCUGGUGGUGUGCUGGCUGCCGAUAGAGCAGUGCCUGUUGGGUGCAGAUAGGGCUAUCUGAUUGUGCGAGCACCUCUUCCCUCAAAGGAUUGCUCAGGAGAGAAUGGAAUGAAAGAUCAAGGAUGACAGCGAAAAAAUGCCAUUUUAUCUGAAAAUAGUUCAAAGUUGAUAAAUAAAAAAAGCUUCUCCGGGGCUGGGGAACUGUGAUAAAAAACAACUACAUUUCUUUGCUUCUUUUAAUUUAUUUAUUUAUUUUAAUUUACAGAGACAUUCGUGUGGUUUAUAAUAAACCUGGGAGCAAAGAUUAUAGAGAAGACUGGUUAAAAACAUAAUCAAGACACUGGAUUAAUGACUGCUCUUGUAUUGGGUAUUUUUUUAAAGCUGCAGUGUACUAUAAUCUUUUCUAGUGCUACAUUACUACAUUCCUAGUUUUGCCUUGAAUUUUACUAUAAGAAAGCAGACUUUUUUGACUUCCCGGUUUGUUUACAUCCUCCCAUUGAGAUUUGAUCACAAUUAUUCAAGAUGAAGAGAAACCACUUGUUACUGUAUACGAUUAAAGGUUUAUCCAGUGGUGCAGAAGAGGAAUGCUACUUUAUCAAUGCUGUACAGUAUGCAACCGAGAUACUGGUGAAGGCUUCGUACAGACAUCCCACUCGAGAGUUUGAUAUAACUGCUCAUGCUAUUGUGAUAAAACUUGAUCAGGGCCUUCUUUAGCACUACUUAUUGAGUGUAUCAAAAUCUGGAUAUACAAAGAGGUGGCUGUCAGUUACACGCAUGUUAUUGAUUUAAGUCAUGUUCAUCUACUUUUAAUGAGAACUCCAUUUUGUAUCUGUAACAGUUUGUUACAUACUUAUUGUUAUGUAUUAGUAUAGUAUUGUAUUAGUACUAGUAGUAGUACUAUUAUGAUGGUUAGUAUUCAUUGUAGGUCAGCUACCAGUGGGGCAGUGUGAUGGACCUGUUCACCACCAGCCUGUCUCUAGCCGGACUGCAGCCUUCAACUGACAGGGAACUUGAUGGCCUGGACCUGAUCCUCGUCCUUCUGGAGAACUGCAUCAUUGACCGUGUCAGCAGUGCUGAGUACUAGGUUGAGUUGAAGCAGAUCUCCCCAGUGGUGGAGAAGCACAGGAAGGAGCUGGUUCCAGGAAUGCCACAGCUCAACAGCCAUGAACUGGAAUCCUGUGGGCUGUAAGAACCUGGGAAAGUGUCUCAGAGGUCCAGAGGCCAGUCCCAGGAAGUGUGAGUGGCCACACUGAUAAUCAGCUGUCAGCACGCUGGACUCUCACAGUGGUUUCUGCACUGCCAAUGUCUUCUCUUCAAUUUCAUUAGUCUUGGAAGUAUCUGUAUGUCUUGGGAACAGUUCUUUUGAAUAUGAUGAAACCUUUCAUUUGUUUUUUUUAAAAAAGUUAUUCUGCUUUAUGCAUAUAAUGCUGUAAACCAGCUUGUAAAAUAAUGGUAGAAACAAAGUUUAUACACAGGGGCAAAUUGAGAAUUUUGUUUCGUUAUAUUUAUGAACCAAGGUGUAUAACAUUUUGCCUGUAAAAGCUAUGAUCUUCAGGAAUUUCUACCGGGUGUACUGUAAGCAAUUUUUUUUUUCUUAUGUACAAUACUAGAAUGACAACUGAAGUUUUUAAUUUUUGAUUUGUAUAUAUCAUAUAUUUUUUAUAGUUGUAUAAUUAUUGUAUCAAUUUCAAACAUAAAAAAGCUGUAGGUUGUCCUUGUCCAGUGAUCAUUGACAUUUGGUAAAUUACUGUUUCAUAUUUUAAUAAAUAAAUAAAUAAAUAAUAAAUAAAAAAAAAUUAUAUAAUAAUAAUA